rnacentral:rRNA from 1 species
UACAUAGGGGGCAAGCGUUGUCCGGAUUUACUGGGCGUAAAGAGCUCGUAGGCGGUUUACCAAGUCAGAAGUGAAAUCUCCGUGCUUAACACGGAGCGGCCUUUUGAAACUGGUAUGACUUGAGUAUGGUAGAGGAGUGUGGAAUUUCCGGUGUAGCGGUGAAAUGCGCAGAUAUCGGAAGGAACACCUAUGGCGAAGGCAGCACUCUGGGCCAAAACUGACGCUGAGGAGCGAAAGCGUGGGGAGCGAACAGG